rnacentral:rRNA from 1 species
CCGCGAUUCGCCCUUCGGGGUGCCCAGGCGCGAAAACUUUACAAUGCUGGCAACAGCGAUAAGGGGACCUCGAGUGCCAGGAUACAAUCUUGGCUGUCGCGAUGCCUAAAAAGCAUUGCAUAGCAAGGGCCGGGCAAGACCGGUGCCAGCCGCCGCGGUAACACCGGCGGCUCGAGUGGUAACCGCUAUUAUUGGGUCUAAAGGGUCUGUAGCCGGCCGGAUAAGUCUUUUGGGAAAUCCAGCUGCUCAACAGUUGGGCUUUCAGAAGAUACUGUUCGGCUCGAGACCGGGAGAGGUGAGAGGUACUUCAGGGGUAGGGGUGAAAUCUUGUAAUCCUUGAAGGACCACCAGUGGCGAAGGCGUCUCGCCAGAACGGAUCUGACGGCAAGGGACGAAAGCUAGGGGCACGAACCGGAUUAGAUACCCGGGUAGUCCUAGCCGUAAACGAUACUCGCUAGGUGUCAGCCACGGUGCGACCGUGGUUGGUGCCGUAGGGAAGCCGUGAAGCGAGCCACCUGGGAAGUACGGCCGCAAGGCUGAAACUUAAAGGAAUUGGCGGGGGAGCAC